rnacentral:rRNA from 1 species
GACGAACGCUGGCGGCGUGCUUAACAAAUGCAAGUCGAACGGAAAGGCCCUGCUUUUGUGGGGUGCUCGAGUGGCGAACGGGUGAGUAACACGUGAGUAACCUGCCCUUGACUUUGGGAUAACUUCAGGAAACUGGGGCUAAUACCGGAUAGGAGCUCCUGCUGCAUGGUGGGGGUUGGAAAGUUUCGGCGGUUGGGGAUGGACUCGCGGCUUAUCAGCUUGUUGGUGGGGUAGUGGCUUACCAAGGCUUUGACGGGUAGCCGGCCUGAGAGGGUGACCGGCCACAUUGGGACUGAGAUACGGCCCAGACUCCCACGGGAGGCAGCAGUGGGGAAUAUUGCACAAUGGGCGGAAGCCUGAUGCAGCAACGCCGCGUGCGGGAUGACGGCCUUCGGGUUGUAAACCGCUUUCGCCUGUGACGAAGCGUGAGUGACGGUAAUGGGUAAAGAAGCACCGGCUAACUACGUG